ACUCCUACGGGAGGCAGCAGUGGGGAAUAUUGCUCAAUGGGCGCAAGCCUGAAGCAGCGACGCCGCGUGAGGGAUGAAGGCCUUCGGGUUGUAAACCUCUUUCAGCUCCGAAGAAGCGAAAGUGACGGUAGGAGCAAAAGAAGCACCGGCUAACUACGUGCCAGCAGCCGCGGUAAUACGUAGGGUGCAAGCGUUGUCCGGAUUUAUUGGGCGUAAAGAGCUCGUAGGCGGUCUGUCGCGUCUGCUGUGAAAACUCGGGGCUUAACCCCGGGCCUGCAGUGGGUACGGGCAGACUAGAGUGCGGUAGGGGAGACUGGAAUUCCUGGUGUAGCGGUGAAAUGCGCAGAUAUCAGGAGGAACACCGGUGGCGAAGGCGGGUCUCUGGGCCGUAACUGACGCUGAGGAGCGAAAGCAUGGGUAGCGAACAGGAUUAGAUACCCUGGUAGUCCAUGCCGUAAACGUUGGGCGCUAGGUGUGGGGCUCAUUCCACGAGUUCCGUGCCGCAGCAAACGCAUUAAGCGCCCCGCCUGGGGAGUACGGCCGCAAGGCUAAAACUCAAAGGAAUUGACGGGGCCCCGCACAAGCGGCGGAGCAUGCGGAUUAAUUCGAUGCAACGCGAAGAACCUUACCAAGGCUUGACAUGCAGGGAAAUCUCACAGAGAUGUGAGGUCCGCAAGGGUCCUGCGCAGGUGGUGCAUGGUUGUCGUCAGCUCGUGUCGUGAGAUGUUGGGUUAAGUCCCGCAACGAGCGCAACCCUCGUUCUAUGUUGCCAGCGGAUAAUGCCGGGGACUCAUAGGAGACUGCCGGGGUCAACUCGGAGGAAGGUGGGGAUGACGUCAAAUCAUCAUGCCCCUUAUGUCUUGGGCUUCACGCAUGCUACAAUGGCCAGUACAAAGGGCUGCGAGACCGUAAGGUGGAGCGAAUCCCAAAAAGCUGGUCUCAGUUCGGAUUGGGGUCUGCAACUCGACCCCAUGAAGUCGGAGUCGCUAGU
rnacentral:rRNA from 1 species